UACCGGAUAGGACUACGCGAUGCAUGUCGUGUGGUGGAAAGCUUUUGCGGUGUGGGAUGGGCCCGCGGCCUAUCAGCUUGUUGGUGGGGUGAUGGCCUACCAAGGCGACGACGGGUAGCCGGCCUGAGAGGGUGUCCGGCCACACUGGGACUGAGAUACGGCCCAGACUCCUACGGGAGGCAGCAGUGGGGAAUAUUGCACAAUGGGCGCAAGCCUGAUGCAGCGACGCCGCGUGAGGGAUGACGGCCUUCGGGUUGUAAACCUCUUUCACUAGGGACGAAGCGCAAGUGACGGUACCUAGAGAAGAAGCACCGGCCAACUACGUGCCAGCAGCCGCGGUAAUACGUAGGGUGCGAGCGUUGUCCGGAAUUACUGGGCGUAAAGAGCUCGUAGGUGGUUUGUC
rnacentral:rRNA from 1 species